rnacentral:sRNA from 1 species
CUGAUAGCCCUGGAGACUAAAGGCUUCUGUUUAUCCAUAGAGAAGCACAGUAUGGGCAGUAGCAGUCAGUACAAGCUUCCUUUGCCAAUGUCUUUCAACCAUGUCUUGUAUGGAAACGUUUCCAGGUGGCUGGAGACUUAUUAACCCUCCCUUUUUAGUCAUGAGAUAAC